GAUGAACGCUGGCGGCGUGCCUAAUACAUGCAAGUCGAGCGAACGGACGAGAAGCUUGCUUCUCUGAUGUUAGCGGCGGACGGGUGAGUAACACGUGGAUAACCUACCUAUAAGACUGGGAUAACUUCGGGAAACCAGAGCUAAUACCGGAUAAUAUUUUGAACCGCAUGGUUCAAAAGUGAAAGACGGUCUUGCUGUCACUUAUAGAUGGAUCCGCGCUGCAUUAGCUAGUUGGUAAGGUAACGGCUUACCAAGGCAACGAUGCAUAGCCGACCUGAGAGGGUGAUCGGCCACACUGGAACUGAGACACGGUCCAGACUCCUACGGGAGGCAGCAGUAGGGAAUCUUCCGCAAUGGGCGAAAGCCUGACGGAGCAACGCCGCGUGAGUGAUGAAGGUCUUCUGAUCGUAAAACUCUGUUAUUAGGGAAGAACAUAUGUGUAAGUAACUGUGCACAUCUUGACGGUACCUAAUCAGAAAGCCACGGCUAACUACGUG
rnacentral:rRNA from 1 species